CACGCAAUAUAUGUCAUCUUUACUAUAUAUUUUAAAGGAUAAAAAUCACUUGACUGCAGAUUUUUUUUAUCUUUGCUGCAAUGUUUCUACAUUUCAUUUUAAAUUGUUUUUAUUUCUUUGGUUUUUAUUCUAAUGAAGUGCUCGCACUGUGUAUUUUAGAGGUGCAAACGGGAGAACAAUAAGAAGUCUCUUCUAUAAUUAUAGAAUAGAAUGUUUCUUUAUGAUGUAAGAACUUGAUUACUAUCUGUAUCUUGUGUUGUACAACUUCUUACAUUAUUUUUCUCCUCAUUUGUUCGUAAAGUAUUUUGUAUGUAUUGUUUGCACAUAAUAUGCAACUACACAGAUAUUGCCACAUUUCUUGCCGAAAUUGGAGUCCCGCCUAUUCAAUUAAUUAUGUCGUACACUAAACUUAUUUCUCCUUUUCCUUCUUGCAGUGCCAUGCUUCAAUACUUCGCUCAUGUUUUUUACGCUGAAACAAUAGGAGAAAAGAAUGUAAAUACUUAUAGCUAUACAGAAAAGAAAAAGAAAAACAAGAUUAGAGAUUGAGUUCUACCUAGCCUUUGAGGGACUGAGCUUUCUUUUUUGCUUGCUAUGUGGACAACCAAGGCAAGAUCCUAUUUUAGUUGUCCCUUCCAAAAAAUAAUUGAAGGUGUUUCUCCACUGAAAAUCUUCCUGUUUCUUUCUGUACAAAUAUUCCAGCAUCUUAGAAUAAUAAUUUUCAUAUUGAUAUCCUUAUGUGGCAUUUGAUGAGCCAGAGUCAUUUCAUCAAAUGUGAAGUACCUUUGUUUCUUCCUGGUAAUAAUAUUACAACACUCAUGUACAGAGGAGCAGUCCCAAAAAAAAGAUAUAGGUGAGAUUUAUGUAGUGUUAUCAUUGCAAAGCUCACAUUGAUAGCUGGGCAGAUGGAAGUUCUUCCUUUGCCACAAAUUUUUGUAUUGAUCCUAUCUUGCAGAAUUAUCUAUCAAAAGAAGACUUUGUGUUUCAGCUGACAUGCAUAUACAUGUGAAUCAUCCAGAUUGCAUACCUUCAGGACUUGUUCUUUUCUUUUGCAGAACACUUUUAGGACAAGCUUACUGAUAUUUAUCAAAAGUAGGUUAUUUCAGAACGAGAGUGGUUGAUGCCAUUGUUUUUGACUCAGGAUUUGCAGCUUCUGUCAUUAGCGAGAGAGGAUAGUUGAUAAUGUUGGGGGUUCUGUGCUGUUGCAUACUAGGACAACCAUCUAAUUGUGGAUGACAAAUGAAGCAUCGGGAAAAUUUGUCUGCCACACAAUAGAAGGUGAGUACUACAUGAUUGAUCGAGCGCUAAGUUUUCUAUAUAGUAUUGAAUGAGCAUAUGACCAAUUAAGUGUAAAUUAUAACGUGAUACUUUUAAUUUCCCCUGUAGUCUCGAAUGGGCAUAUGAUCAGUUAAGUAUAAAUUAUUAGACAUCUUCUUUUCCUUUGCAGUAGUAACUCAUGAAUAUUAUUUUAUCUACAACCGGUAAUUCUAAUAGGGGAUUAGGUGGUGAUGCCUUCUUCGUCUCAGGAAAUGCUGGGCCUACUUUUUGAUCAUGAAGAACAAAGAUAAAUAUGCAUUUGCCACUUUACUAGCUUAGAUAAUGUUUUCUAUUUCACAUAACGAUGUUUUGCUUCUGUAAGAAAAAACAGGGGUAAAGGGUAGUCAUGUAUUGUGAUUCAGUGAUGCAACGCUAGAGGCUUAAUUCUCCUGGCCAUUGCACUUUAGUUCAAAGCAUUCGGCCGGGCAACUAGGCGACCAACUAUUUCUCCAAAUUCUAAAGUUGUGCGUAUAUACUACAGAAAACACAUAAACACUUCUUCAGGAACUUCAAAUUGUCAUUUUUUGCUUAUUAUCUUCCUUUAACUUCAGAAAGUAUAAAAGACACAUGUAGCUGCCAUUUGGGUUUCUUUGUUCAGGAAAAGAAAGACUUCCAUUUAGUUUGAGAUAGCACAUUUUAGAAUGCCGCAAGUUGGCAUUUGAGUUUUUUUUGUGUGGUUUGUACCAAUGUAAUGAAGCACCUGUUUCACUGAAUUCUUAGCUGCAUAACACCUUCUGUUUUACACAAGAAAAUGUAGAUUUUCUCAAGAAAGGGGAUGAACGCAUCUUGAAUUCCGUCCGUUGUUCUCUAUUUCUGGAGUAGCAGCAUAUUCGAUUCCUUUCGGUGAUUUAGACGGAAAAGGAUUGGGUCUAGAGGAUGUUUUUUUCAUUGCGCUCAACUUAUAGAGCUAGAAGAUAAAAACGAAUACCUGAUGCGUCAAGUCAAACGAUUGCUAAACUUAGAACCAAAGUUGUAUCUCUAAAAUUGUUGUGCAUUCUGUAGUACCCGUAUGGUUGUUUAUAGCCUAUUCGAUUUUGUUGUUUGAUCUCUUUUGCAACACCAGGUGUUAUCUGGUUGGUUAGACUAAUAUGUCUAUUUUGUGCUGGUUCCGGUAA